UUACCUACGGGGGGCAGCAGUGGGGAAUAUUGCACAAUGGGGGGAACCCUGAUGCAGCGACGCCGCGUGGGCGAUGGAGUAUUUCGGUAUGUAAAGCCCUAUCGGCAGGGAAGAAAAUGACAGUACCUGACUAAGAAGCCCCGGCUAACUACGUGCCAGCAGCCGCGGUAAUACGUAGGGGGCAAGCGUUAUCCGGAUUUACUGGGUGUAAAGGGAGCGUAGACGGCAGCACAAGUCUGGAGUGAAAUCCCGGGGCUUAACCCCGGAACUGCUUUGGAAACUGUGCGGCUGGAGUGCAGGAGGGG
rnacentral:rRNA from 1 species